GAGUGUGGAUUGCACACGUAAAUACCUUCCAAGUACGUGGAAAGCGCAUGACAAGCUUGUGAGAGGACCUACCAUAGAAAUUUCAAGAAUUUUGGAGCUCUUAGCACACAAGAAAGCUAGCUUUGGAAGAUUCCACAAUCAAGUAAGUAACCACGCAUAUUUUAGGGAGUAAUGCUUAUAGGGAUAGCUUGGAUUUGCAUGGAUAUUAGUAAAACCAAACCAUAGGUGGUCAGAUUUGAUAUUACCUGCGCCUAGGACGAUUGGAUAAACAUGAAAAUAGUCAUGCUAGGUAUUUACGUAACUGAAUUACUUCUCUCAUGAUGUAAUGGAUUGUUUAUUACUAUUUGUACAGAGUCGUGUUAGUAUGGAGGAUGAAAAUUUGUGUAUCUAUGCUCUGGGAGCUUGAUAGAUGUUAUCACCCUGUUAGCUAUUAUAGUAUCUGAGGAACUUCCACUUCUAUUCCCACUUCAAUAUGGUACUAUUGAGGUAGGCAUGAGGCUGGUUAAAAAUGUGUGACUCGAUGGUUUGUUAGAUUACCCUGCACGGUGGAUCCAUCUUAUGGUCGGGCAUUGAUCAUGCGAGUAAUUAGUGGUUAUCUUGUGCAGAUGAUCCGUUUUGUGAGUAGACGUUAAUCAUGUGGGUAGCUAGUGAAGCUUGCAUGUACUGGGGAGUUGCGCCCACCAACCUUGGGCGACUAGACGGCUUAUGGGAUGGGUUUGCCAGCUAGCCUCCCAUUGAUGAAGAUCAUUCUAGCAACACCAGGUUAUCCUCAUCUGGUGUUCGCAAGCUUUUGGUCGAGGUGGAGGAGUAUUCGAGAGUUGAUGGUCAUAGAGAAGGUCAUUUUGAAGCGUCAGUCCAUCUUUGUGUUUGAGCCUUUUGUAUUUUGUUUUGUAAU